UACGUAUGGUGCAAGCGUUAUCCGGAUUUACUGGGUGUAAAGGGAGCGUAGGUGGUAUGGCAAGCCAGAAGUGAAAACCCGGGGCUCAACCCCGCGGAUUGCUUUUGGAACUGUUGAACUAGAGUGCUGGAGGGGUAAGCGGAAUUCCCAGUGUAGCGGUGAAAUGCGUAGAUAUUGGGAGGAACACCGGAGGCGAAGGCGGCUUACUGGACAGUAACUGACACUGAGGCUCGAAAGCGUGGGGA
rnacentral:rRNA from 1 species